rnacentral:lncRNA from 1 species
AAGGAAGUGGCCUUUCUGGCUUCAGGAGUCAAGGGGAGGCUGAGCAGGAGGUAUUAUUUUGGAGAAACCAAACAACCUCCCGGGAAGAGUGCAAUGUUGUGAGAAGCAGAGGGACUCGAUACCAGCCACCUGAGUCAGAAGGAGGCAGCCCAGAGGUACACCAACAACCUGAGAGAUUCCUGGGCCUCCGAAACAUUCGAAU